AAGGACGGUAGGCGAGCGCCAUGUACAUGCAUCUCGGAUUCUACGUUCUCUGCUCCUGUUGUAUCGUUUGCAUCUCAAGGUGCCAAAACACAUGUACAAAUGAAGCCUGUGAACCUCCAUUCGAAAAAUUGACAAAUGCUAGUAGUUGUUACUACAUCAGCAGAGAUCUAGUAGGAGGAGACGAAGCAUUUGCACGUUGUAUCAACAUCGGAGGUUACCUCGCCAACUUUGAGACAUUAGAAGAGGCCAUGCUGAUGAAACAAAACCUGAAGGAAAUGAAUUCAGGUUGGAAAUAAACCAUCAAUUUCUACGCAUUAUGCUGUGUUUUAUAUAUAAUCACAUACACUGUGAUUCUCAGUUUACUUGAUGUUAUAUAAAAUUAGCUUUUGAUAUCUGAGAGAUUGAACCAACAUUAUGAUUUUUAUUGUGUUUGAUAUACUCUAAUAAUUCAUUGCAGGUGUUUAGUAUACUAGUAAUUACAUGUAUAUUGAACUAUAUGAUCAUAUUUUCACAUUUUAAAAGCUAACAAUCCUUCUUUCAACUACACAGGUCUCCACUUCUUUGUUGGUGGAAGAAAUAUCAACAGGAGAAAACCAGGUGGAGAUUGGAGGUGGAUAAAAAACGGAGCUAUGACCAAAAUGUCUUAUUUUGCUUUUGGCGGUGGCGAACCCGAUGGAAUUGACAGUCAGCCACAAGAUUGCAUGUUUUUUAACCCUUUCGAUUACCACAGAUUCUAUGACAUUCCAUGCGAUAUACAUAAGGGCGGCUAUAUAUGCGAGAAAUGAAUAAAGUGUCACAUUU
rnacentral:misc_RNA from 1 species